rnacentral:rRNA from 1 species
UACGUAGGGGCAAGCGUUGUCCGGAAUCAUUGGGCGUAAAGAGCGCGUAGGCGGCCCAGUAAGUCCGCUCAUGAAAGUCAGGGGCUCAACCCCUGAAAGCCGGCGGAUACUGUUGAGCUAGAGUACGGAAGAGGCGAGUGGAAUUCCUGGUGUAGCGGUGAAAUGCGCAGAUAUCAGGAGGAACACCAAUGGCGAAGGCAGCUCGCUGGGACGUGACUGACGCUGAGACGACGAAAGCGUGGGGAGCAAACAGG